UCAAAAGAAAAAGAAAUAGCUUUUUUUUCUCACCCUACAUUAUAAUUUUCAUCAGCCACCUCCAACCAAUCAGUAAAAUCUAAUAUAUCUGUGCAGUCUUCUGUGUAAUUAAUACGAUAAACAAAGGGGCAGAGCAGUAAAGAGAAAUGAGAAUUGUCCCACAUUUUCCCAUUUUUGGUACUCAUGAGAACAGAGAUGCUACCUCUCAGGGGUUUCGGACUAGCAAGGAGGAAAAAUUUUGCCCGUUAGUGGAGCUAGAGAUGAUGAAAAGAACUUGAUUUAGAGAAAAAUUGCUAGAUAGACAACUUGAGAUUGGAUAUAUAAUACCCUUCUAUUUUACCCUAAAAUGCCAGCCUAAAGACUUUUAAGGAGAAGCAAAAAUUGACACCUUUGUUUUAACAGAUGUAUUGAAUAAAUUAUAAUGUAAUAUCCAUUCCAGCUCUUAUCAAGGUACUGGUCAUCACAAUUAAGUAGUUUGGAUGAGGGCACUGACUUUGGGCUAAGAGAAUCUUCUUUUUUUGCCUCAGCUGUUCUGUUUCUGUUAAGACACUGUCUGGGCUGAGAUAUUUAAAUCUGGUUUCAAGGCUGAGUGUGGUGGAUCAUGCCUGUGAUGCCAACACUUUGGGAGGUUGAGGUGGGUGGCUUGCUUCAGUCCUAGCCUGGGCAAUGGAGACAAAACCCAAAAAAUACAAAAAAUUGUGUCUACAAAAAACUAGCCAGGCAUGGUGACAUGCACCUAUAGUCCCAGCUACUUGGAAGGCUUAGAGGGGAGGAUCAGCUGAGCCCAAGAAAUGGAGGCUGCAGUAAGCCAUGAUUGCACCACUGCACUCUAGCCUGGACAACAGAGCAAGACCCUGUCUCAAAAAAAAAAUCUUGCUUCAAGGUUCUAUGCAGAUGAUUCUUUGCUUGUAAACCCUAGGAGCACCUAUGUGAUGCUUUGUGCUCCUCUCACUGGAAUUACCUUAUUCCUUAUCUCUGUUCUCUUGAGUAAUUGCCUCCUCUAACCAGGAUUAGCAUUCUUUGAUCUGACUCCUUUGUUAUCUUGUCUGUUGUGACAAUGGGAAACAUUUAAAUGUUCUCUGGCCAGAAGAGACUGUUUCCGUCUGGAGACCAAAAUGAAACUAGUCCUGGCAUUUGAGUACUGUCAUGAUAUGUCUUUCAAGCGGCAGUCCCUGUAGUGGAUGCUGUGAUGCGCUAAAGCUCUAAGGCAUUCACUCCCCCAGCUCCCAGCAAUGUUUUCUGCUUAAAGCUCACAGCUGAGUCCCUGCCUAGGAAUUGCCCUCAGCUGAGGGAGUUUCCUGGCCCACGUUUAUGUCCCUCUCUCCACCCUGGGUCAGCGUGCAUUAAGUAACUGGUCAAUGUAGAAGUACAAAGGCCUGGCCCCUUGCCUCAAUUUAGGAACUUUAAAGGGCCACACCAGCUCCAGAGCUCCUAUGGAUGGGCUGAGAUUUCAGUUGCAAUUGCGUGGCAGAUCAGCUUUUCCCUCUGCUUAAUCCUGCCUUCCUCCCUUUCUUAUAAGUCUGCAUGUCUUUCAUCUCAGAGUCUGUUCCAUGGAACCCACUCUAAUUACUAAUUCCAUUAAGGUUAAUAAGCACAUCAUUUCCAGUAUCUCCUGGGUUACAUUAGAUUUAUUCAAGUGUGGAAACAAUUUGUUUUCCCCUCAUUCCAAAAUCUCUGAAUCCUAAUAAUUGCAAAAAAGCCUCUUCUUCUCAAGUGGUAUAAUAAGGAGAAGAGUUGAGCUCUCUCAAGCGAUUGGAGUAAGCCAAGAGGGUCUUCUUUGAGUUAAUGAUACACAAGCUCAAUUGCAAUGUAAUUCAAAAAAUACUAAUACCUUCAUUGUGCCAGGUUCUGUGCUAAGUAAUGAGGAGUCAACAAUGAGUAAGAUAUGAACUCUGACCUUACUCAGGGGUGAGACAAACAGACCAAUAAAAUCCACUACAAUAAUGGGUAUGUUGGGGUAAGAGAAAAUCACUUAAGCCUAACAGAAGACUUACCAAAAAAUGUGAUAUUCUGGAACAGGAUUUCUUAACCUCAGCUUUACUGACAUUUUGGACUGGAUAAUUCUUGGUCGUUGGUGGCCGUUCUGUGCACUGUAGGAUAUUUAGCAGCAUCCCUGCCAAAAUGAGAUUUGCAUUUUAGAAUAACUUUUGCUGCAGUAUUGAGAAUGUCCUGAAGUAGAGCAAGACUAAAUACACAGAGAUCAGUUUUAAAUGUUUGCUACAGGCCGGGCAUGGUGGCUCACACUAUAAUCCCAGCACUUUGGGAGGCCGAGGCAGGCAGAUCACCUGAGGCCGGGCGUUCGAGGCCAGCCUGACCAGCAUGGAGAAACCCUGUCUCUACUAAAA
rnacentral:lncRNA from 1 species